GACGAACGCUGGCGGCGUGCUUAACACAUGCAAGUCGAACGAAGUGGCGAACGGGUGAGUAACGCGUAAUCAACUUGCCCUUCAGAGGGGGUCAACAGUUGGAAACGACUGCUAUUACCGCAUACUGAAGGAGGGGAUUGCGUCUGAUUAGCUAGUUGGGGGGGUAAUGGCCCACCAAGGCGAUGAUCAGUAGCCGGUCUGGGGAGAGGAACGGCCACAUUGGGACUUGGACACGGCCCAGACUCCUACGGGAGGCAGCAGUGGGGAAUCUUUCGAAAUGGAGGAAAGUCUGACGGAGCAACGCCGCGUGAGGGAUGACGGCCUUCGGGUUGUAAAGCUCUGUUAAUCGGGACGCGGUACCGGAAUAGAAAGCCACGGCUAACUACGUGCCAGCAGCCGCGGUAAUAC
rnacentral:rRNA from 1 species